CCUACGGGGGGCAGCAGUAGGGAAUCUUCCGCAAUGGACGAAAGUCUGACGGAGCAACGCCGCGUGAGUGAAGAAGGUUUUCGGAUCGUAAAACUCUGUUGUUAAAGAAGAACAAGGAUGAGAGUAACUGCUCAUCCCCUGACGGUAUUUAACCAGAAAGCCACGGCUAACUACGUGCCAGCAGCCGCGGUAAUACGUAGGUGGCAAGCGUUGUCCGGAUUUAUUGGGCGUAAAGCGAGCGCAGGCGGUUCUUUAAGUCUGAUGUGAAAGCCCCCGGCUCAACCGGGGAGGGUCAUUGGAAACUGGAGAACUUGAGUGCAGAAGAGGAGAGUGGAAUUCCACGUGUAGCGGUGAAAUGCGUAGAUAUGUGGAGGAACACCAGUGGCGAAGGCGACUCUCUGGUCUGUAACUGACGCUGAGGCUCGAAAGCGU
rnacentral:rRNA from 1 species